CCCUAGUAACUGCGAGUGAAGCGGGAAAAGCUCAAAUUUAAAAUCUGGCAGUUUCGGCUGUCCGAGUUGUAAUCUGGAGAAGUGUUUUCCGCGUUGGACCGUGUAUAAGUUUCCUGGAACGGAGCGUCAUAGAGGGUGAGAAUCCCGUCUUUGACACGGACCCCAAUGCUUUGUGAUACGCUCUCAAAGAGUCGAGUUGUUUGGGAAUGCAGCUCAAAAUGGGUGGUGAAUUCCAUCUAAAGCUAAAUAUUGGCGAGAGACCGAUAGCGAACAAGUACCGUGAGGGAAAGAUGAAAAGCACUUUGGAAAGAGAGUUAAACAGUACGUGAAAUUGUUGAAAGGGAAACGCUUGAAGUCAGUCGCGUUGGCCGGGACUCAGCCUUGCAUUCGCUUGGUGUACUUUCCGGUCGACGGGCCAGCAUCAAUUUUGAUCGCGGGAUAAAGGCUAGAGAAAGGUGGCUCUUCGGAGUGUUAUAGUCUCUGGUCGCAUGCCGCGGUUGGGAUUGAGGAACUCAGCACGCCUUUAUGGUCGGGGUUCGCCCACGUUCGUGCUUAGGAUGCUGGCGUAAUGGCUUUAAACGACCCGUCUUGAAACACGGACCAAGGAGUCUAACAUGCCUGCGAGUGUUCGGGUGGAAAACCCGUGCGCGUAAUGAAAGUGAAAGUUGGGAUCUCUGUCGUGGAGUGCACCGACGCCCGGACCAGAACUUCUGUGACGGAUCUGCGGUAGAGCAUGUAUGUUGGGACCCGAAAGAUGGUGAACUAUGCCUGAAUAGGGUGAAGCCAGAGGAAACUCUGGUGGAGGCUCGUAGCGAUUCUGACGUGCAAAUCGAUCGUCAAAUUUGGGUAUAGGGGCGAAAGA
rnacentral:rRNA from 1 species